GGAAGUAAAAGUCGUAACAAGGUCUCCGUUGGUGAACCAGCGGAGGGAUCAUUGCUGGAACGCGCUUCGGCGCACCCAGAAACCCUUUGUGAACUUAUACCUAAACUGUUGCCUCGGCGCUGGCCGGCCUCCUCACCGAGGCCCCCUGGAGACAGGGAGCAGCCCGCCGGCGGCCAAACAAACUCUUGUUUCUUAGUGAAUCUYUGAGUAAAAAAAAAACAUAAUGAAUCAAAACUUUCAACAACGGAUCUCUUGGUUCUGGCAUCGAUGAAGAACGCAGCGAAAUGCGAUAAGUAAUGUGAAUUGCARAAUUCAGUGAAUCAUCGAAUCUUUGAACGCACAUUGCGCCCUCUGGUAUUCCGGAGGGCAUGCCUGUUCGAGCGUCAUUUCAACCCUCAAGCCUGGCUUGGUGUUGGGGCACCGCCUUUGCAAAAGGGCGGGCCCUGAAAUCUAGUGGCGAGCUCGCCAGGACCCCGAGCGUAGUAGUUAUAUCUCGUUCUGGAAGGCCCUGGCGGUGCCCUGCCGUUAAACCCCCAACUUCUGAAAUUUUGACCUCGGAUCAGGUAGGAAUACCCGCUGAACUUAAGCAUAUC
rnacentral:sRNA from 1 species